UAUUGUUGCUGAUGAUGAUGAUGAUGAUGAGGAAGAGGAUUAUCACCAUCAUCAUCAUCAUCAUCAUCAUCAUCAUCAUCAUCAUCAUCA
rnacentral:pre_miRNA from 1 species